rnacentral:rRNA from 1 species
UACGUAGGGGGCAAGCGUUGUCCGGAAUCAUUGGGCGUAAAGCGCACGUAGGCGGCCCGGUAAGUCCGUUGUGAAAGUCAGAGGCUCAACCUCUGGAGGCCAAUGGAUACUGCCGGGCUAGAGUCCGGAAGAGGCGAGUGGAAUUCCUGAUGUAGCGGUGGAAUGCGCAGAUAUCAGGAGGAACACCAAUGGCGAAGGCAGCUCGCUGGGACGGUACUGACGCUGAGGUGCGAAAGCGUGGGGAGCGAACAGG